rnacentral:misc_RNA from 1 species
CAGAGUUAUCUAACUCCCAAACCCAUGUGAACUUACCAGUUUGUUGCCUCGGCAGGCUUCCGUCUCCCCUCGGGGGAUGGGCACUACGGGCCUGCCGGCGGCCCCCAUCAACUCUUGAAUAUUUUUGUACUUCUGAGCGUUUAUUAUAAAAUAAAUCA